rnacentral:lncRNA from 1 species
GUUGCAUUAUGACUGAAAGGAGCGUGUCUAGCUUAUAUUGUAAGGACUUCAGUUCUUUCAUGGUGUGCAUAUCAUCACUUUGACCUCCUUGGUUGUUUCUGUCAUACUCAUAGUUAUAGAGAGUCACCCUUAGCCAAUUUUCCACAAGUUUUACCCCCUCAUUCUCAGACCUUCGCUAAAAGUUCCCAUUGCUUGUAGUGUCAAGCAUGUUUCUAUAUUUGAUUGAGCAAGACUCCUCGUUACAGUGUACUCAAUAAGC